UCCAUUCGCAACUUUUCUUUGGAUGCCGAUUCUGGGUACCUCAAUGUCAUGCUUCACUUGCAGCUUGUUCACUAUCAAAGCAGCACAACUGUCAUUAUCUUCCAGCAGGCUCCAGGCUCCAACUCCAGCCUGCAUCGCCUGCCCGAGUCCCGCGACGCCAUCUUGGCCACGAGGAGCGACUUCAAUACUCACCAGGACGCCGCCUUCACCGACCUCCACGUCGAUGCCACCGCCGACCCUCACCUGCCUACCGAUGACGCCCAGCCUCGCCGCUUCUACGGUGCACUGCAAGAUAAGGCAGAGUUAGAGGAUGCCGGGGAGUAAAAUAAGAUUCAUGUAAAUGGAAGGUUGAUGGCUGGUCCAGUCCAUCAUAUGCGGGCGUGGCGUCGAAGGAUGAGAAGCCGAAGCAAACAAGUCGAAGCCAUAUAGCCGAAUGGAAACAAAGUCGAAACGCCAAAUAACUGAAAGCAUACGAAGCCGAAAUGCCAACGAACCAAACGGGCGGGAUGCCGAAAAGCCACUUAACCGAAAGGCUGCAUCGCCUACAAGCCAACUAACCGAAUGCUGCUCUGCCGUAAAGACAAAUAACGGUCUGGAACAAUCGUUUACAAGUCCCACCCCCCAGCGACGUCAUGUCCAUUAUUUGACUUUUUGGCAGAGUGGCAUUCGAUUAGUUGGCUUGUAGGUGACGCAGCCUUUUGGUU